CGCUUGCGGUGUUGUUUCCGGGAAGAUUUUUUCUAAAGAUCUUUCGCCUUUUACUAAAGAUCACCGUGGAGGGGGACAGCAGAACGAGCUUCUAGACAAUUUUUGGUAGACCUAACCCGUUUGGGUAA